rnacentral:rRNA from 1 species
AUUGACGGACUGAAGGCUCUUUCUCGAUUCCGUGGAAAGUGGUGCAUGGUCCGUUUUUGGUUGGUGGAUCGAUCCGUCUGGUUAAUUCCGUUAACGAACGAGACCUCGGCACUCCGAAUAGCGCGGCGGACGUCGCGGCCUCCGGGCCGUCUUCCGCACGAGCUUCUUAGAGGGACCGUCCCCCGCCGGGGAAGGAGGUGCGAGGCAACGACAGGUCUGUGAUGCCCUUAGAUGUUCUGGGCCGCACGCGCAUUACACUGACGCGUCCAACGGGUGACUCCCGACCCGAAGGGGCCGGGGAAUCCGCAAGGCGCGUCGUGAUGGGGAUUGAACGUUGCAAUUGUUGUUCACGAACGAGGAAUUCCUAGUAGGCGCGGGUCAUCAACCCGCGCCGAUUACGUCCCUGCCC